UAGAAAUGAUUGGACAGUUCUGGGAUGCAAAGUUCUGCCUGCGCUUAAUUGCGCGGCGGCGCUAUGUAUCUGCUAUCAGAGCUGUCUUACCAACACACAUGUAGUUUCUACUAUGCUUUUCUUCCUGGGCUGUCAUGGCCCAGGGACAAACACAAACAAAAAUUUUGAAAACUAGUCAAAUCUAUUUCAUUAGAAAUAAAAUCUUCAAAACU